rnacentral:rRNA from 1 species
CCUACGGGGGGCAGCAGUGAGGAAUAUUGGUCAAUGGGCGGAAGCCUGAACCAGCCAAGCAGCGUGCAGGACGACGGCCCUACGGGUUGUAAACUGCUUUUAUACGGGAAUAACGCGCCUUACGUGUAGGGCUUUGCAUGUACCGUAUGAAUAAGGAUCGGCUAAUUCCGUGCCAGCAGCCGCGGUAAUACGGAAGGUCCGGGCGUUAUCCGGAUUUAUUGGGUUUAAAGGGGGCGUAGGCCGCCUGUCAAGCGUGCGGUGAAAUGUCCGGGCUCAACCCGGGCCCUGCAGCGGGUACUGGCGUGCUUGAGACCGCGGAAAGCAGGCGGAAUGCGUAGUGUAGCGGUGAAAUGCUUAGAUAUGACGCAGAACCCCGAUUGCGAAGGCAGCUUGCUGGAGCGGAACUGACGCUGAUGCUCGAAAGCGCGGGUAUCGAACAGGAUUAGAUACCCGAGUAGUC